GGGCUCUGUGGACUAGAGAUAUUUCUCGUUAUUUUUCAAUGAGUUCUUAAGGGUCUCAGCCUCUAAGGCAGGUUAUCAUGACUAUCCCUCUGAGUUGAUGAGAUCAGGCAUC
rnacentral:lncRNA from 1 species